GUGAAUUGUUGUUUAGUCACUAAGUUGUGUCUGACUGCUUUGCGACCCCGUGGACUGUAGCCUGCCAGGCUCCUCUGUCCGUGGGACUUUUCAGCUCUGCUCUGUGACCCUGAAGAUGUGCCUCCAAGGUUAACCCCCCCAAAGAAAGCAAGAGACUCCAGGUUGCGAGGGGUCCCCAGGCACUGCCCCUGCCUCCACCAGAAUAUCUUUCAGGUGCAAAAACCAAGGCCUGAGAAGCAGGGUCUUUGCCCAAAGUCACUCCAUGGUUUGUAGUGUUUAUACUCACGCUUGGAACACCUGGCCCUUGUCAGGUGUGGAUCUAAAUGGGGCUUCCCUGGUGGCUCAGACGGUCAAGAGUCUGCCUGCAGUGCAGGAGACCCAGGUUCUAAAUCUCACCGUAAAUUUCUGGGAUCCCUGGCAAUAAAG